rnacentral:rRNA from 1 species
UGGGAAGUAUUGCACAAUGGGCGCAGCAUGCAUGCAGCCAUGCCGCGUGUAUGAAGAAGGCCUUCGGGUUGUAAAGUACUUUCAGCGAGGAGGAAGGCAUUAAGGUUAAUAACCUUAGUGAUUGACGUUACUCGCAGAAGAAGCACCGGCUAACUCCGUGCCAGCAGCCGCGGUAAUACGGAGGGUGCAAGCGUUAAUCGGAAUUACUGGGCGUAAAGCGCACACAGGCGGUCUGUCAAGUCGGAUGUGAAAUCCCCGGGCUCAACCUGGGAACUGCAUUCGAAACUGGCAGGCUAGAGUCUUGUAGAGGG